UUGUGGAGACAAGGCAAUAUUAUGACCCUAACCACUAUGUAUAUGUUGCCUCUGAAAAUUUUGACGCGAAAAUAUGGAGAAAGGCCAAGGGAAAAAUUGGAACGUUGGAAAUUAGUUUCGGGAAUUUUCAAAAAAUAAACCAAAGGAAAUUGGGCUUAAAAAAAAUAGAAAAAAAUGGCCCAAAGAACAUAGGUGGCCGGCCAUGGUCUUGCAAAAAUUAGCCCAAGCCCAUGAGUAAUGAAUCCAUGAGAUAAUAAUAAAAAGGGGGCCAAAGUCUUCAUUUUUCAAGAACCAAAAGAACCAAAAAAAAAAAAAAAGAGCAAGAACAAGAGUAUAGGGGGUUUCGGCCCCCCCUUCCCUUCAAAAAAAAUUUCCAAGUCUUUAGACUUUAAUCCAAAAAUCCCUUCCUUCUUGAAUUCUUGAUAAGUUUAAGGCUCUCUACAACGUGGUAUAAUUAGUUUGGCAAGAAAGCUCCGUUUGCGGAAAGUGGAAAAUUGAAGCAAAAGGUUUUGGACGAAACGGGGUUUGAAGUUUGGUAAGCGUAAAAGGCAAGAAAGGUACAGACGAUCGAUUUGGUGAUCCGCCAACGUAGGACAUCUCUCCAGCAGUUGAAGUGCUCCUUUGUUCAGGAGCCAUAUUUUGGGUACAUAUUUUACCGUUGUGCAUAUGUAUAUUCGU